rnacentral:rRNA from 1 species
GAUGAACGCUGGCGGCGUGCCUAAUACAUGCAAGUCGAGCGAACAGACGAGGAGCUUGCUCCUCUGACGUUAGCGGCGGACGGGUGAGUAACACGUGGAUAACCUACCUAUAAGACUGAGAUAACUUCGGGAAACCGGAGCUAAUACCGGAUAAUAUAUUGAACCUCAUGGUUCAAUAGUGAAAGACGGUUUUGCUGUCACUUAUAGAUGUAUCCGCGCCGCAUUAGCUAGUUGGUAAGGUAACGGCUUACCAAGGCAACGAUGCGUAGCCGACCUGAGAGGGUGAUCGGCCACACUGGAACUGAGACACGGUCCAGACUCCUACGGGAGGCAGCAGUAGGGAAUCUUCCGCAAUGGGCGAAAGCCUGACGGAGCAACGCCGCGUGAGUGAUGAAGGUCUUCGGAUCGUAAAACUCUGUUAUUAGGGAAGAACAAAUGUGUAAGUAACUAUGCACGUCUUGACGGUACCUAAUCAGAAAGCCACGGCUAACUACGUG